AUGUGGGCCAUUGUUUAGUAACGGGUUCGAUGUCAUGAGGUGAGACGCCUCUGUCAUGGCGUAAGCCUCGAGCACUGGUGCGUCAAAUGCCGCCUCUAGCCGUUCUAAUAUACUCGGUGCCAAUGAUGCACUGCAGCUUCUAAUGAACCUUAGCUUGGGGUACCGUGGACGUUCGGGAUUGCUCUCAUGGCGGUCCAAUAUGAUCUGGUGUAUCGUGGGGACAGCAGUGUACCAUGUGGCUUUGUAUUUAAUCAUGUCCGUCCAAAAUGUCGAUGCAGAAAAUCUGCCGGCGGCCGGGAGAGUGACGGCAGCUCCGGAAACGAGUGAACUCAGUAAGCCAGCUAACAAGCCAUGCACGUGAAAUAACGGGAGCACAAUGACCGUCGAGUCUGACUCAGUGAGUUCGUAAACCGAUUUAAUGUUCAAAACUGAAGUCCCCAAAUUGAGCUGAGUCAAAGGAACACCCUUGGGACGACUGGUGGUACCGGAAGUGUGAAGGAAAAGAGAGACGUCGGCAGGGUCGUUAACGAGUUGUUUGACUGAAUCAAUAUUUGACUCGGGGUUGGAGGAGAGAGUUAUUUUGGAAUUUUCAUC
rnacentral:lncRNA from 1 species